rnacentral:rRNA from 1 species
UACGGAAGGUCCGGGCGUUAUCCGGAUUUAUUGGGUUUAAAGGGAGCGCAGGCGGGGCUUUAAGCGUGACGUGAAAUGCCGCGGCCCAACCGUGGAAGUGCGUCGCGAACUGGAGCUCUUGAGUUGCGGCGAUGUGCGCGGAAUUCGUGGUGUAGCGGUGAAAUGCUUAGAUAUCACGAAGAACCCCGAUUGCGAAGGCAGCGCGCAAGCCGUGGACUGACGCUGAGGCUCGAAGGUGCGGGUAU